rnacentral:rRNA from 1 species
CUUCGGAAGGUCAUAAAGUGGCGAACGGGUGAGUAACACGUGACCAACCUGCCUCUCACAUUGGGAUAACUUAGAGAAAUCUAAGCUAAUACCAAAUACUCUUGAUCUGCCGCAUGACAGACCAAGGAAAGCUUUCGCGGUGAGAGAUGGGGUCGCGGCCCAUUAGGUAGUUGGUGGGGUAGAGGCCUACCAAGCCGACGAUGGGUAGCCGGGUUGAGAGACCGACCGGCCACAUUGGGACUGAGAUACGGCCCAGACUCCUACGGGAGGCAGCAGUGGGGAAUUUUGCGCAAUGGGCGAAAGCCUGACGCAGCAACGCCGCGUGCGGGAUGACGGCCUUCGGGUUGUAAACCGCUUUCAGUGGGAAAGAUAAUGACGGUACCCACACAAGAAGCUCCGGCUAAAUACGUGCCAGCAGCCGCGGUAAUACGUAUGGAGCAAGCGUUAUCCGGAUUUAUUGGGCGUAAAGCGCGCGUAGGCGGCUUGUUAAGCAAGGUCUUAAAUCUUGGGGCUCAACCUCAAGCCGGAUCUUGAACUGGCAGGCUCGAGUAUGGUAGAGGAAAGUGGAAUUCCCAGUGUAGCGGUGGAAUGCGCAGAUAUUGGGAAGAACACCGAUGGCGAAGCAGCUUUCUGGGCC